GGACCCCUAGCUCAGUGGUUAGAGCAGCAGACUCAUAAUCUGUUGGUCCUGGGUUCAAGUCCCAGGGGGUCCACCA
rnacentral:tRNA from 1 species